GAUGAACGCUGGCGGCGUGCCUAAUACAUGCAAGUCGAGCGAACAGACGAGGAGCUUGCUCCUCUGACGUUAGCGGCGGACGGGUGAGUAACACGUGGAUAACCUACCUAUAAGACUGGGAUAACUUCGGGAAACCGGAGCUAAUACCGGAUAAUAUAUUGAACCGCAUGGUUCAAUAGUGAAAGACGGUUUUGCUGUCACUUAUAGAUGGAUCCGCGCCGCAUUAGCUAGUUGGUAAGGUAACGGCUUACCAAGGCGACAAUGCGUAGCCGACCUGAGAGGGUGAUCGGCCACACUUGAACUGAGACACGGUCCAGACUCCUACGGGAGGCAGCAGUAGGGAAUCUUCCGCAAUGGGCGAAAGCCUGACGGAGCAACGCCGCGUGAGUGAUGAAGGUCUUCGGAUCGUAAAACUCUGUUAUUAGGGAAGAACAAAUGUGUAAGUAACUAUGCACGUCUUGACGGUACCUAAUCAGAAAGCCACGGCUAACUACGUG
rnacentral:rRNA from 1 species